rnacentral:rRNA from 1 species
UCCGUAGGGGGCUAGCGUUGUCCGGAUUUAUUGGGCGUAAAGAGCGUGUAGGCGGCCAGGUAGGUCUGGUGUGAAAACUCGAGGCUUAACCUCGAGAUGUCAUCGGAAACCAUUUGGCUAGAGUCCGGAAGAGGAGAGUGGAAUUCCUGGUGUAGCGGUGAAAUGCGCAGAUAUCAGGAAGAACACCAAUGGCGAAAGCAGCUCUCUGGGACGGUACUGACGCUGAGACGCGAAAGCGUGGGGAGCGAACAGG